rnacentral:rRNA from 1 species
AUUUUACCUCAAAUCAGGUAGGACUACCCGCUGAACUUA